UUUAUCAAUAAUAAUAUUCAAGAUAAUGACCAAAAACAGCAAAAUUUCCUUAAAACUAACAAUUCAGGGUCAGCAACCCAACAACGGGUUGUCCGAUUCAUCUAAAAAUUUCAGAGCAGAUAAAUGUUGACCUGAUAAACAAUUUUACCCCAUGUCAGAUUUGCUCUAAAUGCUUUGGGUUUUGAGUUAUAAGCCAAAAACUGCAUUUUACCCCAUGUUCUAUUUUUAGCCAUGGCGGCCAUCUUGGUUGGAUGGCCGGGUCACCGGACACAUUUUUCAAACUACUAACCCAAAAGAUGAUUGUGGCCAAGUUUGGAUUAAUUUGGCCAAGUAGUUUCAGAGGAG
rnacentral:lncRNA from 1 species